rnacentral:rRNA from 1 species
GACGAACGCUGGCGGCGUGCUUAACACAUGCAAGUCGAGCGAAAAGACGCUGAGCUUGUGGGGUUCUCGAUUGCCGAACGCGUGAGUAACACAUGAGUAACAUGCCCUUGUCUUUGUGAUAACUUCACGAGACUCGGGCUAAUACCCGAGAGGAGAUACUGAUGCGUAUGGUUGGAUGGAAAGUUUCGGCGGUGGUGGAUGGUCUCGCUGCUUAUGAGCUGGUUGGGGGAGUAGUGGCUUUCAAGGGCUUUGACGGGUAGCCGGCCUGAGAGAGUGACCGGCGACAUUGCGCCUGAGAUACGGCGCAGACUCCUACGGGCGGCAGCAGUGGAGAAUAUUGCACAGUGGGCGGAAGCCUGAUGCAGCGAUGUCGCGUUCGGGAUGCUGGGUUUCGGGUUGUAAACAGCUUUCGCAUGUGACGAAGCGUGAGUGACGGUAAUGGGUAAAGAAGCACCGGCUAACUACGUG